UAUGGUUCUUAUAUCAAGGUCAUCCAGAACAACACGGGGCCAGGGGAGUCAUCCACGCCUCUUACCUUUCCCAUGGUGUUGUACUCCACUGCUAUUUCCCUGAAGAAGAAGUAGAUGUAGUCUCCAUAAUCCACUGCUUGGACAAAGUACGGUUCUGUGGACACAUGGCACUUUAAUUGGGGACAUGUCACACAGAGUUAAAAGAACUUCAAUCAGCUGCGACCAAAGACAUGCUAUUAAUUAAAAGUGUAGGGCCAUUAGACAUUGGGUUAACACGAACCAUUUCUCAUGACCACACCAGCAAGUGCUGGUGAUUUCAGAAGGCAUUCGAGCCUACAAAAUUCUUUCAGAAGUGGUUGCAAUUAACAAUGAAGAAUAAAUGAAUUUUCAUAUGUCUGUAAUUUUAUUUUCCACAACGAAUGCUUCUAUUACAGAAAGGAUUUUUUGUAUGCAUCUCCUCAUGAAUCCUGACUCAUGCCGGGUUGGGAAUAGCAUUUUCCCUGCUCCCCACCACCUCCGAUCCCUGUUCCCUUCCAUGAAUGGAAUGUUCAGUUCUUUUCAUGUUAGAUCUGAAACGAGUGCUUGAGGCAGGAAAGAUGAAUGUGGUGUGUUCUAUUGUAGUGGCAUUGGUAGUUGUGUUAAUAUUCCAGAAACUCAUGGGAAAUGAGAAGGGGGAAGUAAAUAAAUCAUUUGGGGCAAAAGAUGCCAUUUCCACCUUCCUGUCUGUCAGAAGCUAUUACCAACAUGAAACUCCAGUCUGGUCUGUCCGGACUCUAAAUCUCCCUCAAGAUAUGAGCCCCCACCCCUCUCUUAAUUGUUGGUUCACCUUUCAGCCAUUUGGAAUCAUGCUUGACGGUCCGUAGGGUUGGGCUGUCUCCCAGACUCCGGUAAAUGACCGCAUCAAUGGCAAGGAAGUCAGUCACUGUGGCUGAGUAUAGUUUUCCAUCUUAGGAGAGAAAGAAAAGAGGUGAAUGGGGUUGGGGCACUACACUGGGCAUGGGGGAAUAAUAGAGACAUCCCCCAGAUUGCUUUCCUACAUCAGGCAAAUGAGAUAGGACAACUGGGGAACAUCCAAGAGUCGCUGGGAAAAUACUUGGCCCACAUUCCUAACCAUUGUAAAUUAGGAUCUUGAGAGAUGAAACAUUUUUCAUUUUUAAAUUGCAUGGCAAUUUCUAAGCAGCAGCAGCAGCAGCAGCUCAGGGAACGGGGUAAAUGAAAAAUGUUGUUUGCUUCACCUGAUUAUAUGGACCUUGACCGAAAUCUCAAGGCCAAGGCCCCCUGGACACUGCUACUGCCACCACACCAUGGCAAAUUGGAUUAGAUGGGAGCCCAGGGAAAGACAGAAGCUGAUUGUAUCAUCAGAAGUUUUAAGUUUGUGCAGAAGUGAUAGAGUCCUUCGCCUGGGCAGAAAAGUUUAUCCGGACAUAUCUAAGCAGAGGUCUUGAUGUCUGCUUUUGAUCUAAACUGAAAUUUGCUCAGGUUCAACUUGGAGCUGUCUUGACAUCUUCAUUAUUGACAACCAUUUAUCAGUGAAGAUUGACUGGUUAGAUUUGAACCACAGAUGGCAAACCUCUCUGUUGAUAAACAGAUCUACAAAAAUCA